UCCGCCCUAAAACCUCCAUCUUACUUAGUAUAUAUUACUAUAUUCUAAAACUCCAAACUCUAAUUUUUCCACCCUGUGAUAUUACAAACUUCUAACCAACUACAUACCUGUAGUCCCAGUGCUAUCAAUCAGUUUUGGAAGUCUUUUCCAUGGCCUCAGGUCAAAUGCAGUGCUGUCCUGCGAGUCAGAGUCUAUCAGCACAGAAAGUCUAAAAUUCUCAGCAUCCAGAACCCUAACAUUUGGGUUCUCAACAUGGAAAACGGUAAUUCUUUUUUUGUUUUUUAUUUUUUUAAAGAAAGAAAAAAACCAAAAACAAAACCAAAAAAAGCCUACUUAAAUUUUGUAAGGUGAUGCUGCAAAGUUGAAAUUGAAGGUAUUCCCAGGUAUCUUUAUGGCCAGGUUCUCAUAUUUGCUACAGUGAGCUGAAGCACCACUACUCACAUUUUGAUCAACCCUGAGAAAAAAACAAAAAAACAUUGACCAUGCUGGAAGUCUUAUAAAUGAGUCUUUCUUUGUCUUCUGCAGCCAUCCCUGUUUUGUGUUCUGCUGGCAGUAAGGAGCUUAACGUGCAGAUAACUCGAUGGAGCGCCGUGUCUGGGAGCUGCGAUUGUUCCGUGGCUCUGGCUGGCGGAGCGCGGCGCUCUCCGGGCUGGCGCGCACCAUCUGCCGCCACCGAGGUAACUCUGGGGACGCUCCUCGGAUUGAUUGCGCUCAGCCACGGCCGAGGCACAGGAAAAAUAGAGCUCCUAAUUGCUUUUUACCAGGGAUCUUGUUUAACUCUAGGAAGUGGUAAUUCAGAAAUGAACGGCUUUGGUGGACGUCUUAGAAUCUUUAAUUAACAGAUUACUCUAUUAACACGCACAUUGUUUUCCAGGUGAGUGAGAUCAUUUGCCCCUGGGGCUUUUUUUUCCAUAUGCCUUCUGUUCCUCCAGCAAAAUAUGUAACAAAUUGAAGUAUUCAUUCUGAUUACAUAAAGCACAUGGGUAUACAAUUAUAUGAAAAGAAAGAUGACAUUUGUUGCCUGCCUUCCCUAAGGCCCCUGCAGGCUUUGCCCUUCACUGAAAAAAUAAGGCAUAAAGUCAUUAGAAUAUGUGCUUUUUUUUUUUUUUGCACAUUAUAUUAUUGGAAGGGUAUGUUAUUAAAACAAAAGCCUUUACUAGAAACAAUGGGGUAAUGAUUCCUUACAAAGUAAAUAACACAUUUUUCUAAAAUAAUACCUUUUUUUCACAGAAGUUUUACAUUCUUUCAUAUGUCAGUUAUGUGACCAUUUUGGAGCUUUUAGGAAUGCAUUUAUUCCAUGUUACUAAAUUUAUAUCAUAAAUGUGAAUUAAAGAAAUUAAAUAUUCAUGUAAGUAUAAUCAGUUUACUGCUUAAUUUUAUUAAUCUUUUUUGCUCAUUAUUUUAUGCUUUACUAAGUAAUUAAUCUACAUUUUAAUCCCUUUAUAUGUUUUACAGGGACACUUUCUGUACUGUGAAACAGUUUUUCAGCACGUAGUAGGCUAGAAGAACUACUUCAUUGAGAUCUCAAUAUUUAUUGGAGCAUUAAAUGAAACAUUGGAAGAGAAAGUUAUAUUUCAUAACUAAAAUGGCAACAUCUAUAAAUUAUAUAAAACCACUAAGAAUUUUUAAAAACAUAUUUUUGUGGUGCAACAUGCAGAAGAAUUUAUUUGGGAAGAGUUCAGAAAAUGAAUUUGAGUGAGCAGAGUCCUGGGGAGCAGACUAACCUUCCUCCAGUAACUGACAUAAAUUCUCUGGUAAACCAGACCAAGUGGUUCAUGCACAGAUAGAGAAACUAAGGCAAAGGUGACAAGUGAGAAAGGUAGGUAAAGGACUCUAAAAUACAGUAGAUUCAAGUGGACCUUGAAUUUGUAAUACUGUACAAGCUUUUGUGCUGCUUAAUAUUUAUCAGCCUGAGAAUUUUGCUUCCAGACCUGGUGCAGUAUUCAUCCUCUCUGCUGUCUAACAGGCACGGCAAAAUCGAAAAUCAAUGUGUGUCUUAAUACUCUGCUACGGACAUGCUCAGACUUGCUUUGAUAUCCCCAUCUUGGAAAUAAAAAAUCCAAGAGGAAAAACCACAUGGAGAUUGUCAAAGCCACAGAAAGCCCUUUUUACUGAUAAGAUGAACUAAGUCAAGUUGUUUAAUUUAUCAAGAUGAGAACUGAGAGGGGAUUUGAUUGCUGGUAUGUGAAUAGUUUAUUGUUAGCUAAAAGGAGGAAUGCUGAAAGGGCCUCUAAUUUUUCAGGGAAGAGCAUGACACAUUCUGAUUUAUGUACAAAUUCUAAUG